rnacentral:rRNA from 1 species
GAGGCAGCAGUAGGGAAUCUUCGGCAAUGGACGGAAGUCUGACCGAGCAACGCCGCGUGAGUGAAGAAGGUUUUCGGAUCGUAAAGCUCUGUUGUAAGAGAAGAACGAGUGUGAGAGUGGAAAGUUCACACUGUGACGGUAUUUUACCAGAAAGGGACGGCUAACUACGUGCCAGCAGCCGCGGUAAUACGUAGGUCCCGAGCGUUGUCCGGAUUUAUUGGGCGUAAAGCGAGCGCAGGCGGUUAGAUAAGUCUGAAGUUAAAGGCUGUGGCUUAACCAUAGUACGCUUUGGAAACUGUUUAACUUGAGUGCAAGAGGGGAGAGUGGAAUUCCAUGUGUAGCGGUGAAAUGCGUAGAUAUAUGGAGGAACACCGGUGGCGAAA